rnacentral:lncRNA from 1 species
GUUUAACCACAAAGGCUCAGGGCUUGAGAAAUUGGAGGCAAAGUAUUUUCCAAUCGUGGAAAGAGAAAAAGAGCUGCCUAUGGAAAUGGGGUCAGGGUAGAGAUAAAGGAACAUGCAGCCUUUCCCUGAAAUGAGAAUGGAGUGGCACAGAGGAGGAAGAGUCCCUGGGGUGUGGCGGAAGGUGCCACCAAGCAUUAAGAGCUAGAGCAUUCUGGACUCAGAGAUAAACACCGAGAUAACCAUGUGGGUUCUCACAUCUUCAACCUCCCACUAAAGGCAAGGGACAUGGUGCACCGAGCUCAGAAGAGAAAAUGAAAGAUAAGAGCAAAACUUGGCAACUGGAGGCCUUCAGAUGUGAGUUCUAGACAUGGACAUGUGCACAACUGCACUGACCCCGGCGGCUCCUCCUCACCUGCAGGUCCCUGUGUGAUGGCUGCCGGAUGAGAUGACAGGUGUGACGCUGGAGUUCCCCUCACAGUGACAGCUCAUGCAGCAGUAGUGUAUUACAAAGCCUACUGUUCAGAUGUUGCUGUAGAUAUUGAAUCAUCUGAGCCGGGAGAAAUUCCAAUUUCCUGUUUCGCUGCCUCCGGAUGAUGUCCUUUCCGGGAUGGUGCCCAAACUGUGUCUUGGGAAGAAGGGGGAAGGAAUAGAAAGAAGGGCCCUGAAUGGACAGACUCCUGUGAGUCAUUGACGGGCCCACCACACACAACUUUAGAGACUUCGCUCUGGAUUUGGAGAAGCUGUGCCCUGGGAGACACCCGGUACACGAGGUUUGGGUCAUAUCCACCCUUCUGCAUGCUUUUACUCCCUCAGCAGGUUCCUUGCCUGCAUCUCCUGCACCCUUAUCGAGCACUCCCCUCCCUCUGACACCUUCCUUUGUCCUUUGUCUGAGCCACUUCUCUGCCCCUUCCCCUCACUACUAGUGGCCCAAGUUGGCAUUGGAACAGACACUUGAUAGAGUCACUGAGUAGAACUGAACCACGAAAACAAGGAG